rnacentral:sRNA from 1 species
AGUGUGCUCCGCAGCACAUCUCACGUAGC